AAAGGAAGAAGAAGAACGACGACUGUUUGCAAUAAACACCAACAAUAUCUGAGAAAAAAAACAGUGUAUACUCACUCAAUAUUUUAGGUUAGUCUGAAUAUUACAAAUUUCUCCAUAAUGAUAAUUAACCACAACACCUACUUCUUCCACAUCUGAACCAAAACACGAACAAAACUGAUAGUGAAGCUUUCGUUAUUUUGACAGUUCUAUUUUUCGGAAUCUCGGUAAGAGUUUUUUUGGUUCGACAAGAUCUCGGUUAAAUGAUGCCAGAGUUCCGAGAUUCGGUAUUUCAGUUAACUGAACUCGGAAAUUUGCGGUUUUAUGGAUUUUUUUCUGGUAGCUUGGUAUUUCAUUUUAUCGAGGAAACAUUAUGCAGUAAAGUGUUUAGGGGCUCCAAAGUUCACAGGAAUCGUUAAAAAGCUAUAAUCUUUUUCAGGGCAACUAUUUCAAGCUUUAGAGCAACCUUUUGUUUCGCUUUUGCCGAUCAGUGUUAUCCACUAUACUUAAAAACCAUCAAGAGCAGCUGAUUCGGAAAUUUUUAAAAAUAUGAGUACUUCUUUCAAUUUUUUAUUUGCAUGCAAAAACAAUAAAAACACAUCAACUUCAUUCAAACAAUGCUAUUUAAAUAGCGAGUAUCAAUCUGCAUCAAAACACCGAUUUGUGAAAUUAGAUUCAUACUUGGGCGGAAUUGAAUUCAAGGCCCAAAUCAUUGUGCGGAAUAGAGGAUUAAACAUUGACAACUGCUCAUACCAGA